rnacentral:rRNA from 1 species
GACGAACCGUGCGAACGUUGUUCGGAUUCACUGGGCUUAAAGGGCGCGUAGGCGGCUUGCCAAGUCAGGGGUGAAAUCUUUCGGCUCAACCGGAAAACUGCCCCUGAUACUGGCGGGCUGGAGGGAGGUAGGGGCAGACGGAACUUCCGGUGGAGCGGUGAAAUGCGUAGAUAUCGGAAGGAACGCCGGUGGCGAAAGCGGUCUGCUGGACCUCUUCUGACGCUGAGGCGCGAAAGCCAGGGGAGCAAACGGG